ensembl:lincRNA 9430002A10Rik RIKEN cDNA 9430002A10 gene
AAAAGGCUGGGCAGACAUGGCAGUCUGGUAAUCGUUGUAAUCAGUCCCUGGAAGUCUUAUCAGACAUAGCAGAUGUGCCAUGAUGGUAAUGGACUGAACCUCUGAACUGCAAGCCAGUCCCAGUUAAAUGUUGUCCUUUAGAAAUGUUGCCAUGAUCAUGAUGUCUCUUCAUAGCAAUGGAAGCCCUAAGAAGUUUGUGCCAGGAACUGGGGUAUUGCUGUUGAUAGGCCUGACUAUGCUUUUGUUUGGAGGAAUAAGGAACCUUUGGGACUUUCGACUAGAAAAGCAAAUGGACAUUUUAAGCAGGGCUUAUGGGCCAUCCAGCAGCAAGGAAGACAGUGGUGCUGAGGGUGAUUUGAACUGUAGGGGCCUGGUCCGUGAGGUUUCAGAGAAGAAUUUUAGUGUGUUGCCUUGGCUGUGGUGUAUCUUCAAAGCAAUAGAACGGUGUCUAAAACAGCAAUAAACAAUCCAAAAA